rnacentral:rRNA from 1 species
CCCGGAGAUGGCCUAGUACGGCGAGUGAAGCGGGAGAGCUCAAAUUUGAAAUCUGGUAGCCUUCGGUUGCCCGAGUUGUAAUCUAGAGAAGUGUUUUCCGUGCCGGCCCAUGUACAAGUCCCUUGGAACAGGGCGUCAUAGAGGGUGAGAAUCCCGUCCUUGACAUGGACCCCCGGUGCUUUGUGAUACACUUUCAACGAGUCGAGUUGUUUGGGAAUGCAGCUCAAAAUGGGUGGUGAAUUCCAUCUAAAGCUAAAUAUUGGCGAGAGACCGAUAGCGAACAAGUACCGUGAGGGAAAGAUGAAAAGCACUUUGGAAAGAGAGUUAAACAGUACGUGAAAUUGUUGAAAGGGAAACGAUUGAAGUCAGUCAUGCUCUUGGGACUUACCUCCCUUGAGUGGGGUCAACAUCAGUUUUGAUCGAUGGAUAAAGGCACGGGGAAGGUAGCACUCUCGGGUGAACUUAUAGCCUCGCGUCAUAUACAUUGAUUGGGACUGAGGAACGCAGCAUGCCUUAUGGCCGGGAUUCGUCCACGUACAUGCUUAGGAUGUUGACAUAAUGGCUUUAAACGACCCGUCUUGAAACACGGACCA